rnacentral:lncRNA from 1 species
GACUUAAAGCUAUCCGACUCCAGGCAUUGAAAGUAAAAUAUUUUUGCUAAUUUUAAUACAGAAAGAACCAAAUGAGGCCUAGAAAACUGAUUUAAGGUUCCUCAUUAACAAUUUCAACAAAAUAUCUAAACAGUAAAGGCCUCCAAAACUUUGCCUAUGACACUUACAAAGCAGACAAUGAACCUGAAAUUAUUCAAAAAUCCAAACCAGAACAAACAAAACCAUAGAAAUUGAUCAAGAACAAAACACCACCAUACGACUUAGAUGUUAUUCACCUAAGUAUAUCCAGACCAUAACAGUCCAAAAUUAAGUACAAUGCUAAGAGUUCAACUAUCGAAACUAGAAAUUAGCUAGAAGAUUCAACGAAUCAAGCAAUAAACGCGAUGUAAUGCAGAACAUAAAACUAAAUCAUAAACAGAUGGAUUGAGGCCAUGCUUUAGACUCCAUUUCCAUUCUAUACUUCAAGUCGAGCUUCAAAUUCAGUAAAGUCCAGGAAUAUGUACCUGAAUACAGCAAGAUAACAGAGGAAAUAAGCUUAGAGCUUAAGAAGGAAUAGCAGCAGUAAAGCAGCAACAAUGUAACAGUGCCAAAUCAGUAAAUCAAGCAAACUUUCAAACCAACUCAACCAAUUUGAAACCCAGAUGCUUGACUUGUAAAUUUCAGAAACUCUAAUGAACCAAAAAGGAAACAAAGAUCCAGAAACCAAAAGCAAAAUUUUCAACAAAUUUCAGUGUUUUAAAGUUUCAAAGAGACUCAGCCGUUUGCAUAAAUUUUCUGUGUUUUUCAUUCUCCCCAAAAUCUGACUUGAGAGUGAAAAAACAAUGCCCUCUAUAGGGAGCUUUAGGGCAGCAGAAAUGUGUCAAGUUAAUUGCCCUUUACCCUUUUUCAAAUUUUCAUUUUUGCUAUUAAAUCCUUAGUUUAAAAUUAGUUUUUCCAAAACAGGUCCCAAUUCCCCACCUUCUAGGCAGCUUCCUAAAUCAGUUACUAAAGAUUUCCUUACCUAAAUUCCUAAACUACCCCUUAGGAUCCCUAUUUUUACCUUAGGAAACCAAAUAGGUCAAAUUGACCCAAUAGCUCAACCAGACCUGGACUCAGAUCCGACCUAAGAAACCAAACAAACCCCUUGAGGUGAAGUCUAAACUAGCCUCAAAGCCCAAGCAGCAAAGAUAAACUAAAUCGAAUCAGUAACAACAGAAGGAAAAUACUUAAAGGAUUUCGAAAACUAAAACCUACACUAAUUGACUGAUUAAUACGGAAUUGACUAAGUUAACCAAUUGAAAUAAACAUAAUUAAACUAAACUACGAUACUAAAAUAACAAGGCAAAGUCAGAAGUUUGAACCUAAAACUAAACGAGUGAACAUACAAAAUCCAGCGUAGCUUUUAAAGAUUGAAAAGAAAAACUAACAAAUGAACGGAAAUAAAUACGACCAAACAAAUUAACCUAAAGGAAAGACCUAGGCUCGAAACUAAUCACAAUUUCAGUCAGAAGACAGACCAACCAGAAUACACGGAGAAGAAAAGAAGCAGAAUAAGAGGUGAAACAACAAGGACGGACAAAAAGGAUAAAGAAAAACUCACCGAUUAAGCUUGCAAUCGAGACUAAUAUUUUGAUUUAGCCCAAAACAAUGUCAGUCGCUUGUUCUUAGUCAAGAACAAGAGAACGUCAAUAUUUUGUGAUAAAACAGCCUUGAACAAACAGGGAAUUCGGAGGAGUAGCCUUACAUGCACAUGUUCAAUUUUAAGCUUUUAGGGCUUGAACUCAGAUUCAAGAUUCGACGAGUUCUGGACAGAUUCGAAGGAAAAGAAGUGAGGAUCCAGAACGGGGAGGUGAAGGGGAGUCUGUGGUAUAGAUUUGGGAUUGAUUGGGACCGGCGCCGCCACCGGAGAUGGCGAGGAUUUUAGGGCGGCGGAUUAGGGUUAGGCUUGGGUGUCUCUGAAGAUGAAAGAGACGAGGGAGAUGAGUU